AGCCGUGGCCAUCUUACUGGGCAGCAUUGGAUAGUGUCUGAUCUCUAAUACUGCCUGGUAAUGAUGACGGCGGA
rnacentral:pre_miRNA from 7 species